UGAGACUGCCGGUGACAAACCGGAGGAAGGUGGGGACGACGUCAGAUCAUCAUGCCCCUUAUGACCUGGGCUACACACGUGCUACAAUGGACGGUACAACGAGUUGCAAACUCGCGAGAGCAAGCUAAUCUCUUAAAGCCGUUCUCAGUUCGGACUGUAGGCUGCAACUCGCCUACACGAAGUCGGAAUCGCUAGUAAUCGCGGAUCAGCAUGCCGCGGUGAAUACGUUCCCGGGCCUUGUACACACCGCCCGUCACACCAUGGGAGUUUGUAACGCCCAAAGUCGGUGGCCUAACCUUUGUGGAGGGAGCCGCCUAAGGCGGGACAGAUGACUGGGGUGAAGUCGUAACAAGG
rnacentral:rRNA from 1 species